GUCUAGCUGACGAGUCCCAAAUAGAAUAAAACGGUUGUCCCACAC
rfam:Schistosoma haematobium scaffold881_11, whole genome shotgun sequence.